rnacentral:rRNA from 1 species
UACGGAGGGUGCAAGCGUUAUCCGGAUUUACUGGGUUUAAAGGGAGCGUAGGUGGGCUGUUAAGUCAGUGGUGAAAUCCCGGGGCUCAACCUCGGAACUGCCGUUGAUACUAUCAGUCUUGAAUAUUGUGGAGGCUAGCGGAAUAUGUCAUGUAGCGGUGAAAUGCUUAGAUAUGACAUAGAACACCGAUUGCGAAGGCAGCUGGCUACGCAUAUAUUGACACUGAGGCUCGAAAGCGUGGGUAGCAAACAGG